AGAGUUUGAUCAUGGCUCAGGAUAAACGCUGGCGGCGCACAUAGGACAUGCAAGUCGAACGGACUUAACCUUAUCUUUUAGAUUUGGAGCGGUUAGUGGCGGACUGGUGAGUAACACGUAAGCAACCUGCCUAUCAGAGGGGAAUAACAGUGAGAAAUCAUUGCUAAUACCGCAUAUGCUAACAGUAUCGCAUGAUACAGUUAGGAAAGGAGCAAUCCGCUGAUAGAUGGGCUUGCGUCUGAUUAGUUAGUUGGUGGGGUAACGGCCUACCAAGACCACGAUCAGUAGCCGAACUGAGAGGUUGAACGGCCACAUUGGGACUGAGAUACGGCCCAGACUCCUACGGGAGGCAGCAGUCGGGAAUAUUGCGCAAUGGAGGAAACUCUGACGCAGUGGACGCCGCGUAUAGGAAGAAGGUUUUCGGAUUGUAAACUAUUGUCAUUAGGGAAGAUACAAGACAGUACCUAAGGAGGAAGCCCCGGCUAACUAUGUGCCAGCAGCCGCGGUAAUACAUAGGGGGCGAGCGUUAUCCGGAUUUAUUGGGUGUAAAGGGUGCGUAGACGGAGAGACAAGUUGGUUGUGAAAUCCCUCGGCUUAACUGAGGAACUGCAACCAAAACUAUUUCCCUUGAGUGUCGGAGGGGAAAGUGGAAUUCCUAGUGUAGCGGUGAAAUGCGUAGAUAUUAGGAGGAACACCGGUGGCGAAGGCGACUUUCUGGACGAUAACUGGACGUUGAGGCACGAAAGUGUGGGGAGCAAACAGGAUUAGAUACCCUGGUAGUCCACACUGUAAACGAUGGAUACUAGGUGUAGGGUGUAUUAAGCACUCUGUGCCGCCGGCUACGCAUUAAGUAUCCCACCUUGGGAGUACGACCGCAAGGUUGAAACUCAAAAGAAUUGACGGGGGCCCGCACAAGCAGUGGAGUAUGUGGUUUAAUUCGAAGCAACGCGAAGACCCUUACCAGGGCUUGACAUAUACAGGAAAGAUCUAGAGAUAGAUCCCUUCUUCGGAACUUGUAUACAGGUGGUGCAUGGUUGUCGUCAGCUCGUGUCGUGAGAUGUUGGGUUAAGUCCCGCAACGAGCGCAACCCCUAUUGCUAGUUACUAACAGGUUAAGCUGAGGACUCUAGCGAGACUGCCGGUGAUAAAUCGGAGGAAGGUGGGGAUGACGUCAAAUCAUCAUGCCCUUUAUGUCCUGGGCUACACACGUACUACAAUGGCUGUUACAGAGGGAAGCAAUAUAGUGAUAUGGAGCAAAACCCUAAAAGCAGUCUCAGUUCGGAUUGAAGGCUGAAAUUCGCCUUCAUGAAGCCGGAAUUGCUAGUAAUGGCAGGUCAGCAUACUGCCGUGAAUACGUUCCCGGGCCUUGUACACACCGCCCGUCACACCAUGAGAGUUGGAAAUACCCGAAGCCUGUGAGCUAACAAUCGAGGCAGCAGUCGAAGGUAGAGCCAAUGAUUGGGGUGAAGUCGUAACAAGGUAGCCGUAUCGGAAGGUGCGGCUGGAUCACCUCCUU
rnacentral:rRNA from 1 species